rnacentral:lncRNA from 1 species
UCAAGGUCCAUGUUUGAGUUUGAGGGGUGUAGGCACAGCAUAACAGAUGUGUGUAUAGUGUAUAAUGAUGGUCUGUGUUUUGUUGCAGUAUUUUCCUGAAGGAGCUGGAGAACUACGAACAGCUACCUGAGGAUGUGGGUCACUGCUUCGUCACCUGGGCAGAUAAGUUCCACAUGUAUGUGACGUAUUGUAGAAAUAAACCAGAUUCCAGCCUUCUGAUCCAGGCAACAUGGGGCAGGCUUCUUUCAGGAGGUCCAGAGGAGACAUGGUCUUGCUAACUCCAUCUCCUCAGCGCUCAUCAAGCCGGUUCAGCGCAUCACCAAGUACCAGCUCCUUCUCAAGGUACAGAACAUGAGAAAUACUGAUGUGUGUUGG